rnacentral:sRNA from 1 species
CCGGACGCCCAUCGGGGGGGUCUGGCCCGUCGAACGAUGAAUGACAUCGCUGACGGAAAUAGAAACUUGUACCCAUGUUGCUUCACAAGGAGGAUGUGGCUAUGAGAA